AGAGUUUGAUCAUGGCUCAGAACGAACGCUGGCGGCAGGCUUAACACAUGCAAGUCGAACGCAUCCUUCGGGGUGAGUGGCAGACGGGUGAGUAACGCGUGGGAACGUGCCCUUCAGUUCGGAAUAACCCAGGGAAACUUGGGCUAAUACCGGAUACGUGCGAGAGCAGAAAGAUUUAUCGCUGAAGGAUCGGCCCGCGUCUGAUUAGCUAGUUGGUGGGGUAAUGGCCCACCAAGGCGACGAUCAGUAGCUGGUCUGAGAGGAUGAUCAGCCACAUUGGGACUGAGACACGGCCCAAACUCCUACGGGAGGCAGCAGUGGGGAAUAUUGGACAAUGGGCGCAAGCCUGAUCCAGCCAUGCCGCGUGAGUGAUGAAGGCCUUAGGGUUGUAAAGCUCUUUCGUCCGGGACGAUAAUGACGGUACCGGAAGAAGAAGCCCCGGCUAACUUCGUGCCAGCAGCCGCGGUAAUACGAAGGGGGCUAGCGUUGUUCGGAAUCACUGGGCGUAAAGGGCGCGUAGGCGGCUUUGUAAGUCGGGGGUGAAAGCCUGUGGCUCAACCACAGAAUUGCCUUCGAUACUGCAUGGCUUGAGACCGGAAGAGGUAAGUGGAACUGCGAGUGUAGAGGUGAAAUUCGUAGAUAUUCGCAAGAACACCAGUGGCGAAGGCGGCUUACUGGUCCGGUUCUGACGCUGAGGCGCGAAAGCGUGGGAGCAAACAGGAUUAGAUACCCUAGUAGUCC
rnacentral:rRNA from 1 species